UGGGGAAUAUUGGACAAUGGGGGGAACCCUGAUCCAGCCAUGCCGCGUGUGUGAAGAAGGCCUUAUGGUUGUAAAGCACUUUAAGCGAGGAGGAGGGUACUGGUAUUAAUACUACCAGGUACUGGACGUUACUCGCAGAAUAAGCACCGGCUAACUCUGUGCCAGCAGCCGCGGUAAUACAGAGGGUGCGAGCGUUAAUCGGAUUUACUGGGCGUAAAGCGUGCGUAGGCGGCUAAUUGAGUCGGAUGUGAAAUCCCCGAGCUUAACUUGGGAAUUGCAUUCGAUACUGGUUAGCUAGAGUAGGGCAGAGGGUGGUGGAAUUUCCUGUGUAGCGGUGAAAUGCGUAGAUAUAGGAAGGAACACCAGUGGCGAAGGCGACCACCUGGGCUCAUACUGACACUGAGGUGCGAAAGCGUGGGGAGCAAACAGG
rnacentral:rRNA from 1 species